rnacentral:rRNA from 1 species
GACGAACGCUGGCGGCGUGCCUAAUACAUGCCAGUAGAACGCUGAAGGAGGAGCUUGCUUCUCCGGAUGAGUUGCGAACGGGUGAGUAACGCGUAGGUAACCUGCCUGGUAGCGGGGGAUAACUAUUGGAAACGAUAGCUAAUACCGCAUAACAGUAGAUAUUGCAUGAUAUCUGCUUGAAAGGUGCAAUUGCAUCACUACCAGAUGGACCUGCGUUGUAUUAGCUAGUUGGUGAGGUAACGGCUCACCAAGGCGACGAUACAUAGCCGACCUGAGAGGGUGAUCGGCCACACUGGGACUGAGACACGGCCCAGACUCCUACGGGAGGCAGCAGUAGGGAAUCUUCGGCAAUGGACGGAAGUCUGACCGAGCAACGCCGCGUGAGUGAAGAAGGUUUUCGGAUCGUAAAGCUCUGUUGUAAGAGAAGAACGAGUGUGAGAGUGGAAAGUUCACACUGUGACGGUAUCUUACCAGAAAGGGACGGCUAACUACGUG